CAGUGAAAUUGAACUCGCUGUGAAGAUGCAGUGUACCCGCGGCAAGACGGAAAGACCCCGUGAACCUUUACUAUAGCUUGACACUGAACAUUGAGCCUUGAUGUGUAGGAUAGGUGGGAGGCUUUGAAGUGUGGACGCCAGUCUGCAUGGAGCCGGCCUUGAAAUACCACCCUUUAAUGUUUGAUGUUCUAACGUGGACCCGUGAUCCGGGUUGCGGACAGUGUCUGGUGGGUAGUUUGACUGGGGCGGUCUCCUCCUAAAGAGUAACGGAGGAGCACGAAGGUUGGCUAAUCCUGGUCGGACAUCAGGAGGUUAGUGCAAUGGCAUAAGCCAGCUUGACUGCGAGCGUGACGGCGCGAGCAGGUGCGAAAGCAGGUCAUAGUGAUCCGGUGGUUCUGAAUGGAAGGGCCAUCGCUCAACGGAUAAAAGGUACUCCGGGGAUAACAGGCUGAUACCGCCCAAGAGUUCAUAUCGACGGCGGUGUUUGGCACCUCGAUGUCGGCUCAUCACAUCCUGGGGCUGAAGUAGGUCCCAAGGGUAUGGCUGUUCGCCAUUUAAAGUGGUACGCGAGCUGGGUUUAGAACGUCGUGAGACAGUUCGGUCCCUAUCUGCCGUGGGCGCUGGAGAACUGAGGGGGGCUGCUCCUAGUACGAGAGGACCGGAGUGGACGCAUCACUGGUGUUCGGGUUGUCAUGCCAAUGGCACUGCCCGGUAGCUAAAUGCGGAAGAGAUAAGUGCUGAAAGCAUCUAAGCACGAAACUUGCCCCGAGA
rnacentral:rRNA from 2 species